rnacentral:lncRNA from 1 species
CUAGGGACCAGUCUUCUGUCUCUACCCGUGGUAGUCAAGCUGUACUGAAGAAGGAAGUGAGCAGUUUGGGGCAGCAGCAAGACGGAUCAGGCAUCUGUUCCUUUGCUGGGUUCCCGCAGAUGCCCUUACUAAUUACAUAGCCUAAGCUUUUCCAAGGUUCCAGUGAGACCCUGCUCGGACUCCACAGCAAUCCCCUCAGCCCCUGAGCCUCCUGUCUUCUUGGGCUGGACUGAGCUUCUGUUGCUCGUAAACCACAAAUCCUGUGUUUUCUAAACAAGAAUGCAGCUCAAACCAGGCACUGUGUGACCCAGAUUCUGGACAUGGCCAUUCAACGAGUGAAUUUAAAAGUUGAUCCACAUCGCAGUCCUUUGGAGGUUGACAUCCACCGUGGCCUGCUUGCCUGUUCCUUCCAGCUUGAAUUCCUAGGAGCUGAGCUCUUCUUUGCACAAGAGUGGCUGCUAAACCAGUAGGAAAAGAAUGCGACAGUCCACCUCAAGGUCGGCAAACUUUCCUUUCCUUUCCCAGGAAAUUCCCAGGGAAUAGGAAGAGGUGAGAGCUGACAUUAAAAUGUCUUAAUCUAACAGGGAGAUGUUGGAAAGGCCAAGAUGUUGGUUUCAAAUCCUCCGACAGCAAAAACUAUGAGUGGAGGUGACAAGGACAGGACAGACAGACAGCAGGAGGUGGGCAGGGAGCAAGCGGGCGCUUGGAAAGGUGGGGAAUAACCAAGUUGGAUGACUCGGGUGUGGAGGGAGACUCCAUGACCUCAGUGACUCCAGGGUAGCUGAGUCCCGCUCCAGUUUAUUUUGUUUUUUCCGCUGGCAACCUUUAGUAGUAAAUGAGUAUUCCUUGCAUCCAAAGGAAUUUGAUUAAAAAGUAUCAACAGCAAAUAAGCUCAACCUAGUCCAGAACAAAGAAAAUUACAUUUAUUGAUGGCUAAUUAGGACCGCAGUCUGGGAAAGCACAGAUUCAAGCAGUCUAGAUAGUGUGCUGUUGGGUUUUCUAAAACAGUGCUCUUCCUACUCCCUCCCUCCCUACCUUCUCCUGGCUGUUUCCUUCUACCCCUCCUAAGUCUACCCAUAGGAGACCCAAACCGGACUCCUGGAGGAGUCUUUCCUCCAUUUCUGCCUUAUUGACACCACGAAUAAAGUGACUAUUGUUUCAAGUCAAGAUUUGAGCACAGU